rnacentral:rRNA from 1 species
UACGGAGGGGGCUAGCGUUGUUCGGAAUUACUGGGCGUAAAGCGCGCGUGGGCGGCUUUGUAAGUUAGAGGUGAAAGCCCGGAGCUCAACUCCGGAACUGCCUUUAAGACUGCAUCGCUAGAAUCGUGGAGAGGUGAGUGGAAUUCCGAGUGUAGAGGUGAAAUUCGUAGAUAUUAGGAAGAACACCGGUGGCGAAGGCGGCCCACUGGUCCGGUACUGACGCUGAGGUGCGAAAGCGUGGGGAGCAAACAGG